AGAAUUCAGUUCGACACAAUCUCUCAUUAAAUAAAUGCUUUGAGAAAGUGGAUUCCCCCAAACUGAAUGGAAAUACAAAGAAAGGUUGUCUCUGGGCUCUCAAUCCGGCCAAAAUAGAAAAAAUGGAGGAUGAAAUUGCAAAGCACAGAAAGAAGGACCUGGAUUCAAUACUAAAGAGCAUGUCUGAUCCAGAAAAUCUGGAGUUGAUAGAGGCGGGGAAGGCAGGGCCUGUGGGAUCACCAAACGAACCACCCUCCCCAAAGCAGCCAAUCAGAGAUCAGAAGACGGCUUACCUGACGACCGACGUCAAACAUCCUAGAGAACGGGAUCGGACUCGAGCACGAACUCCCAGAUAUCAACUUCCAGAGCUCUGGCCCCACUACCAUAGCAACAGGGAAUGGCAGUUUAUAUGGAAUUCUUACCUGCACAAGUCCCCUUACCCAGAAUUCCUCAGUGACCCCGAGUAGUUAGAUGCCGUCCAUGAGCCUAGUCGUCGCUGUGUUCAAAACAUUCCAGACAUCGCCAGUCUAACUGAGCGAGAUUUCAGGUCUGCUAGAGUCAUCUUCCCUCCAAUGUUGAAGAAUUGUGUGUGUGUGAGGAGAUGAUUUCAAAUCAUGUGUAUAUUAGAGAGUAAAUAGAGCACUAUGUGUCAUAUGUUGUAAAUAGAUCUGAAGUUUUAAACCUUGUUGUAUGGAUCAUGUUCUCUAUAUUUUUCACAAUGUACCCUUACACAUUUGUCUAUGCAAUCUUGGUGCAGAAAGCCAUUUUGUGUUCAGACAGAAAGCUUAGUUAGCCUGUUUUCUGUUGUGAGGCAGCUGAUGUUUUAGUGAACUGCUCAAUACAUAUCACUAAUAUAACUUGUCCCACACUGCUUGUCCCUACACCACCACUCGGCUACCGUCUCUUCUGUGAAGGAUACCAGGGCUCCCAGUUACUGGUUGCCUUUGAAAAGUUCAUACCACUAGUUUAGAGACUUCACAGCAGCUAUAUGAAAUAUAGUGAGACUAUGUCAUUGUUGAGCAUGACUAUUCUGUGACAUAGUGAGAAUAUGCAAUGGCUUAGUGAGACUCUUCCAUGUCUAAGUGAGACUAUGCUGUUGUUGAGCAAGACUAUUCCUUGACAUAGUGAAACUAUGUCAUGGCUGAGAGAGACUAUGCAGUGUCUAAGUUAGACUAUGCCAAGUGGAGGACAAGCAGGGCUGUUUUGUUAAGAUUUUAUACUUAUAACAGAUGUAUCCUGUACCUAAUAUGUUGAUCAUACAUUGUUCUGUUAGUGUUUGUUGUUCUGCGGUACACAGGGGUCUUCCUUGCGUUUAGUUACCUGGCUUUUUAAUGAAGAAAUGGCAAGCUUUUAUCUUUUAUUGAACUAUGUAAACCCUUUGAGAUAUGUUGACGAGUAUUGCUCACAUAUUGUUCUGAUUUGUUUGAGGAUAUUUGAAUGUAUAAUAAGUGUAAAUAGUGAGAAUGAAUGCUAGGUUAAUAUUUAAAUGGAGGCAUGAAAUAUUGUAUGUUAAAGUGCCAAAAUGAAGUUUCCUUUGUGAAUUGCUUCAUGCUAGACACAAACCCUUGAAGGCAGCACUGUACAGGAGCUCACUGGUUCAGUUCAGACCAAGGGAUCAGGGGUUCAGCUCAGAUCAAGGGAUCAGGGGUUCAGCACAGACCAAUAAGGGGGGAGGGGUUCAGCUCAAUCAGACCAAGGGAAUAAAGUGGGUUCAGAAUAGAUCAAGGGUUUGAGAGGUUCAGUUCAGACCCAGGGGUUCAGCUCGGACCAAGGGGAUCUGGAGUUCAGAGCAGGACUAGGGGAUCAGGGAUUCAGUUCAGACCAAGGGAUCAGGGGAUCAGCCUAAAUCAAUGGUUUAUGGGUGUUCAGCUCCAACCAAGGGAUCAGGGGUUCAGCUUAAACCAAGAGGAUUGGGAACCUAGGGUUGGAGCUUAGACAAAGAUGUAGGAGUAGAUUAGCUUACACUGGUGAUAUAUAGAGGGCUCACUUUUGGUUUUUCUUAGCUUGUCCAAUAUGCUUAGAUUUAGAAAUUUUUCAUCCAGAGUUUUAGAUUUAAAAGCCAAGAUCUAGAUAUUUUUAAAUGGUAAAAACUUUCUGUGGUCCAAAAUAUGAUCAUCAUCAACUGCUUCACCCCUGUUUCCUUCCUUGGAUCUGAUGAUCUAACCAGUGGCUCAAUCUUUGCUUUAGUAACCUUGUGUUACAGUAUAAUCCAUUGUAGGCUAUUUAAUGAGUAGAUUUCAGUGACAUGUUGACAUAUAUCUACCUACCUAUCUGUUAUAAUAAUGGAGCAAUCAAGUGUUCUUGUAUGCUUCCAUAAGAUUGUUUUUUUUUUUUCAUAUUACAACUUUGAUUCAGAUGUACAGUAUAUUACAAUGUUCUGCGGAAACAUCACAGAUUAAUUUCACCUAGUGCUAUGUGUACAGUGUUCAGUGACCUUGACCCGAUUUUGUUCACUCCUUGGUUUUUGUCUUAAAAUGUUCAACAUUAUCCACUGUGUUCAGAAUUUUGUGACUCUGUAGAUUUUUAUUUCUUUCAAACCUUGCACACAUGGUGAUUUUUAGACGUUUGAUUAGAGCUUGCCUAAUGUUGAUUUUUAAAAAUGAGUAAAUUUUUAUUUCUUAAAUUUUUAUUGCAGUAUAUUUUUGUUCCUAUUUGUAACAUGCAGCAGUGAUUGUGUUCAUUCCUCCAUUGUGAGGAUCUGUAAAAGAUUUCAUUUGGUUUAAGUUUUUUUUUUUUUUGCACAAUGUACUUGCAGUAAAUCCAAUAUAGAUUUGUGGUGACCAAAAAAAACAACAAUAAAAAUCUUUUGUAUUACA
rnacentral:misc_RNA from 1 species